GAUGAAGAACGUAGCGAAAUGCGAUAAGUAAUGUGAAUUGCAGAAUUCAGUGAAUCAUCGAAUCUUUGAACGCACCUUGCGCCCUUUGGACAUUUCGAAGGGCAUGCCUGUUUGAGUAUCAUGAACACCUCAACUCUCACGGCUUGUCCGUGAUGAGCUUGGACUUUGGGGGUCUUGCCGGCCUGUGGUCGGCUCCUCUCAAAUGGAUCAGCUUGCCAGUGUUUGGUGGCAUCACAGGUGUGAUAACUAUCUGCGCUUGUGGUUUUCCAUCAGAUAACCUUCAGUGAUAUGGAGGUUCGCUGGAGCUCACAAAUGUCUCUCCUUAGUGAGGACAGCUCUUUGAACGUUUGAUCUCAAAUCAGGUAGGACUACCCGCUGAACUUAAGCAUAUCAAUAAGCGGAGGA
rnacentral:misc_RNA from 1 species